AGGGGAGACUGCAGAGCUCCUGAGCUGGGGGCAGCUCAGCUUCUGGGAAAUGCUGUUAGAAUCCUGUGUGUGUUUCUGGGAGAUAUCUCAGUGUGGAUCCCAAGGACAAAGUGAAAGCGUGACUUGCAGGUGCAGCUCGGAGCUUGGAUGACCUCUGUUUGGUAGCAGGUGCUGUGUUCCUGGAGGGAACCUUGCAGCUAGCCCAAGGACUCUGCUUUUGUCUGUCCACCCUUAUGAGUGAUCAGUGCUAAAGAGAAAAAGCCUUUUGAGAAGGGCAUCCUGAGAAGAGGCUUUCAGCCAUGCUCUGAAUACCAACUGUUUGAGGAGGUGAAGAGCCAAAUGAGUUGCCAGGAUUUUGUUCGAGCUUUGCUGUGAGGCUGUUCUCCCAUAGCAAAGCGGUGAGGCCACCUCAGAAAACCCUGUUCACAGUGGAACAGGUGCUGUGGGCAGCUUUGCAAUGUUUACAGAAGGGGUGCUGGAGAACAGGGGAUACCGAGUGGCAAAUGGCAAUUGUGCCAAAACGGGUGUGGAUAAAUGAAGUAAUUCAGAAACUCUUUUGGGCUUAUUUAGCAGCUUCUGUAGAGCUUGUCUGAACACAGGCUUUCAAAGUGGAUCAGAAGGUGAGCCUGGUAUGA
ensembl:lncRNA